rnacentral:rRNA from 1 species
UGAAUGGCUCAGUGAGGCGUUCGGACUGGCCCAGGGAGGUCGGCAACGACCACCCAGGGCCGGAAAGUUCGUCAAACUUGGUCAUUUAGAGGAAGUAAAAGUCGUAACAAGGUCUCCGUAGGUGAACCUGCGGAGGGAUCAUU